GACGAACGCUGGCGGCGUGCUUAACACAUGCAAGUCGAACGAUGAAGCCCAGCUUGCUGGGUGGAUUAGUGGCGAACGGGUGAGUAAUACGUGAGUAACCUGCCUUUAACUCUGGGAUAAGCCUUGGAAACGGGGUCUAAUACUGGAUACGACCAACCCUCGCAUGGGGUGUUGGUGGAAAGGGAUUUUGUACUGGUUUUAGAUGGGCUCACGGCCUAUCAGCUUGUUGGUGAGGUAACGGCUCACCAAGGCGACGACGGGUAGCCGGCCUGAGAGGGUGACCGGCCACACUGGGACUGAGACACGGCCCAGACUCCUACGGGAGGCAGCAGUGGGGAAUAUUGCACAAUGGGCGCAAGCCUGAUGCAGCGACGCCGCGUGAGGGAUGACGGCCUUCGGGUUGUAAACCUCUUUCAGCAGGGGAGAAGCGAAAGUGACGGUACCUGCAGAAGAAGCGCCGGCUAACUACGUGCCAGCAGCCGCGGUAAUACGUAGGGCGCGAGCGUUGUCCGGAAUUAUUGGGCGUAAAGAGCUUGUAGGCGGUUUGUCGCGUCUGCUGUGAAAGCCCGGGGCUUAACCCCGGGUUUGCAGUGGGUACGGGCAGACUAGAGUGCAGUAGGGGAGACUGGAAUUCCUGGUGUAGCGGUGAAAUGCGCAGAUAUCAGGAGGAACACCAAUGGCGAAGGCAGGUCUCUGGGCUGUAACUGACGCUGAGAAGCGAAAGCAUGGGGAGCAAACAGGAUUAGAUACCCUGGUAGUCCAUGCCGUAAACGUUGGGCACUAGGUGUGGGGAACAUUCCACGUUUUCCGCGCCGUAGCUAACGCAUUAAGUGCCCCGCCUGGGGAGUACGGCCGCAAGGCUAAAACUCAAAGAAAUUGACGGGGGCCCGCACAAGCGGCGGAGCAUGCGGAUUAAUUCGAUGCAACGCGAAGAACCUUACCAAGGCCUGACAUAUACUAGACCGCCUCAGAGAUGGGGUUUCCCUUCGGGGCUGGUAUACAGGUGGUGCAUGGUUGUCGUCAGCUCGUGUCGUGAGAUGUUGGGUUAAGUCCCGCAACGAGCGCAACCCUCGUUCUAUGUUGCCAGCACGUAAUGGUGGGGACUCAUAGGAGACUGCCGGGGUUAACUCGGAGGAAGGUGGGGAUGACGUCAAAUCAUCAUGCCCCUUAUGUCUUGGGCUUCACGCAUGCUACAAUGGCCGGUACAAAGGGUUGCGAUACUGUGAGGUUGAGCUAAUCCCAAAAAGCCGGUCUCAGUUCGGAUUGGGGUCUGCAACUCGACCCCAUGAAGUCGGAGUCGCUAGUAAUCGCAGAUCAGCAACGCUGCGGUGAAUACGUUCCCGGGCCU
rnacentral:rRNA from 1 species